CGCACUAUGAUGUAAUUGGUUAACAUAAAAGGCUCAUGCCCUUUAUAUAUACGUUCGACUCGUGUUGGUGCAU
rfam:Cyberlindnera fabianii strain 65 BON22_Sc21, whole genome shotgun sequence.